UGCUCUCGUACAAAAGCGCACGCUGCAGCAGCACAGUGACAUUCUUGCCAUCACUAUCUAACACCUUCGAGCAAUCAGCCACGGCCUUCUUGUACUCUCCAACCUCCUUGUAGCACGAAGCCCUGCAGGUCAGGACCUCACCCGCAGCUGCACUGUCUCCGGUUUUGUCAAAAAGCACGACUGACCAAGUAAGCCACUUAAUAGCAUCAGCAUACUGCCCCUGCUUGUAAUGAUCCAUCCCCUUGGUUUUCGCUGACGAAGCCGUGACUCCUGCCGGAGGCGGGGGCAACCCUUCCAGCUCAGUCGUCG
rnacentral:misc_RNA from 1 species